AGUGAACGCUGGCGGCAUGCCUUACACAUGCAAGUCGAACGGUAACAGGUCUUCGGAUGCUGACGAGUGGCGAACGGGUGAGUAAUACAUCGGAACGUGCCUAGUAGUGGGGGAUAACUACUCGAAAGAGUGGCUAAUACCGCAUGAGAUCUACGGAUGAAAGCAGGGGAUCGCAAGACCUUGUGCUACUAGAGCGGCCGAUGGCAGAUUAGGUAGUUGGUGGAUAAAAGCUUACCAAGCCGACGAUCUGUAGCUGGUCUGAGAGGACGAUCAGCCAAACUGGGACUGCGACACGGCCCAGACGCCUACGGGAGGCAGCAGUGGGGAAUUUUGGACAAUGGGCGAAAGCCUGAUCCAGCAAUGCCGCGUGCAGGAUGAAGGCCUUCGGGUUGUAAACUGCUUUUGUACGGAACGAAAAGCCCCGGGUUAAUACCCUGGGGUCAUGACGGUACCGUAAGAAUAAGCACCGGCUAACUACGUGCCAGCAGCCGCCGUAA
rnacentral:rRNA from 1 species